GCCCGGGUGGUGGAACCGGUAGACACAGGGGACUUAAAAUCCCCAGGGGUAACACCCCGUGCGGGUUCGAGUCCCGCCCUGGGCACCA
rnacentral:tRNA from 1 species